rnacentral:rRNA from 1 species
AGUGAACGCUGGCGGUAGGCCUAACACAUGCAAGUCGAACGGCAGCACAGUAAGAGCUUGCUCUUACGGGUGGCGAGUGGCGGACGGGUGAGGAAUACAUCGGAAUCUACUUUUUCGUGGGGGAUAACGUAGGGAAACUUACGCUAAUACCGCAUACGACCUACGGGGGAAAGCAGGGGAUCUUCGGACCUUGCGCGAUUGAAUGAGCCGAUGUCGGAUUAGCUAGUUGGCGGGGUAAAGGCCCACCAAGGCGACGAUCCGUAGCUGGUCUGAGAGGAUGAUCAGCCACACUGGAACUGAGACACGGUCCAGACUCCUACGGGAGGCAGCAGUGGGGAAUAUUGGACAAUGGGCGCAAGCCUGAUCCAGCCAUACCGCGUGGGUGAAGAAGGACUUCGGGUUGUAAAGCCCUUUUGUUGGGAAAGAAAAGCAGCAGGUUAAUACCCCGCUGUUCUGACGGUACCCAAAGAAUAAGCACCGGCUAACUUCGUG